rnacentral:rRNA from 1 species
UACGUAGGUCGCAAGCGUUGUCCGGAUUUACUGGGCGUAAAGAGCGCGCAGGCGGCUGGUCAAGUCCGAUGUGAAAGCUCCCGGCUUAACUGGGAAAUUGCAUCGGAAACUGAUCGGCUGGAAGGUGGGAGAGGGUAGCGGAAUUCCCGGUGUAGUGGUAGAAAUGCGUAGAUAGUCGGGAAGGAACACCAGUGGCGAAAGCGGCUACCUGGCCCAUUCUUGGACGCUGAGGCGGCGAAAAGCUGAGGG